rnacentral:rRNA from 1 species
CCCUUAGAGUUUGAUCCUGGCUCAGAAUGAACGUUGGCGGCGUGGAUUAGGCAUGCAAGUCGUGCGAUAAGUGUAGCAAUACACGGAAAGCGGCGAAAGGGAGAGUAAUACGUGGGUAUCUACCUCGGGACCUGGGAUAGCGGCGGGAAACUGCCGGUAAUACCAGAUGAUGUCUCCGGACCAAAGGUGUGAUUCCGUCCUAAGAGGAGCCCACGUGCUAUUAGCUAGUUGGCAGGGUAAUGGCCUACCAAGGCGAAGAUGGCUAUGGGGUGUGAGAGCAUGCCCCCACUCACUGGGACUGAGACGCUGCCCAGACACCUACGGGUGGCUGCAGUCGAGAAUCUUCGGCAAUGGGCGAAAGCCUGACCGAGCGACGCCGCGUGCGGGAUGAAGGCCUUCGGGUUGUAAACCGCUGUCGUAGGGGAGGAAGGUCUUGUGCAGAACAAGACUUGACCGAUCCUAGGAGGAAGGGCCGGCUAAUCUCGUGCCAGCAGCCGCGGUAAUACGAGAGGCCCAAACGUUAUUCGGAUUCACUGGGCUUAAAGAGUUCGUAGGCGGUCUGGAAAGUUGGGUGUGAAAGCCCUCGGCUCAACCGAGGAACUGCGCUCAAAACUACCAGACUUGAGGGAGAUAGAGGUGAGCAGAACUGAUGGUGGAGCGGUGAAAUGCGUUGAUAUCAUCAGAACACCGG